rnacentral:rRNA from 1 species
UAAUGUCUGGGAAACUGCCUGAUGGAGGGGGGUAACUACUGGAAACGGUAGCUAAUACCGCAUAACGCCGCAAGACCAAAGUGGGGGACCUUCGGGCCUCAUGCCAUCAGAUGUGCCCAGAUGGGAUUAGCUAGUAGGUGGGGUAACGGCUCACCUAGGCGACGAUCCCUAGCUGGUCUGAGAGGAUGACCAGCCACACUGGAGCUGAGACACGGUCCAG